AGUGAACGCUGGCGGCGUGCCUAACACAUGCAAGUCGAGCGAAGUGGUAGCUGUAGCAAUACAGUGUACGCUUAGCGGCAGACGGGUGAGUAACACGUAGGGAACCUUCCUCUUAGCGGGGGAUAGCCAGCCGAAAGGUUGGGUAAUACCGCGUACGAUCUACUUGAGGCAUCUCGAGUGGAUGAAACAUCCGCAAGGAUGACUGGGAGAGGGCCCUGCGGCCUAUCAGCUAGUUGGUGAGGUAACGGCUCACCAAGGCUACGACGGGUAACCGACCUGAAAGGGUGAACGGUCACACUGACACUGAGACACGGGUCAGACUCCUACGGGUGGCUG
rnacentral:rRNA from 1 species